rnacentral:rRNA from 1 species
GACGAACGCUGGCGGCGUGCCUAAUACAUGCAAGUAGAACGCACAGUUUAUACCGUAGCUUGCUACACCAUAGACUGUGAGUUGCGAACGGGUGAGUAACGCGUAGGUAACCUGCCUGGUAGCGGGGAUAACUAUUGGAAACGAUAGCUAAUACCGCAUAAUAUUGAUUAUUGCAUGAUAAUUGAUUGAAAGAUGCUAUUGCAUCACUACCAGAUGGACCUGCGUUGUAUUAGCUAGUAGGUGAGGUAACGGCUCACCUAGGCGACGAUACAUAGCCGACCUGAGAGGGUGAUCGGCCACACUGGGACUGAGACACGGCCCAGACUCCUACGGGAGGCAGCAGUAGGGAAUCUUCGGCAAUGGACGAAAGUCUGACCGAGCAACGCCGCGUGAGUGAAGAAGGGUUUCGGAUCGUAAAGCUCUGUUGUAAGAGAAGAACGGGUGUGAGAGUGGAAAGUUCACACUGUGACGGUAGCUUACCAGAAAGGGACGGCUAACUACGUG